GAUGAACGCUGGCGGCGUGCCUAAUACAUGCAAGUCGAGCGAACGGACGAGAAGCUUGCUUCUCUGAUGUUAGCGGCGGACGGGUGAGUAACACGUGGAUAACCUACCUAUAAGACUGGGAUAACUUCGGGAAACCGGCGCUAAUACCGGAUGAUAUUUUGAACCGCAUGGUUCAAAAGUGAAAGACGGUCUUGCUGUCACUUAUCGAUGGAUCCGCGCUGCAUUAGCUAGUUGGUAAGGUAACGGCUUACCAAGGCAACGAUGCGUAGCCGACCUGAGAGGGUGAUCGGCCACACUGGAACUGAGACACGGUCCAGACUCCUACGGGAGGCAGCAGUAGGGAAUCUUCCGCAAUGGGCGAAAGCCUGACGGAGCAACGCCGCGUGAGUGAUGAAGGUCUUCGGAUCGUAAAACUCUGUUAUUAGGGAAGAACAUAUGUGUAAGUAACUGUGCACAGCGUGACGGUACCUAAUCAGAAAGCCACGGCUAACUACGUG
rnacentral:rRNA from 1 species